rnacentral:rRNA from 1 species
UGGAUUUUGGUUAAGAGGGCCCCCCCCGCCGUUUGGACUGUACUGCGUUGUCUUGACUUCCUGAUGAGGACAUGCUCUUGGUUAACGCUGAGACAUGGAGUCAUCGUGGUUACUUUGAAAAAAUUAGAGUGUUCAAAGCGGGCUUACGCUUGAAUAUAUUAGCAUGGAAUAACACUAUAGGACUCCUGUCCUAUCUCGUUGGUCUCGGGAUGGGAGUAAUGAUUAAGAGGAACAGUUGGGGGCAUUCGUAUUUCAUUGUCAGAGGUGAAAUUCUUGGAUUUAUGAAAGACGAACUUCUGCGAAAGCAUUUGCCAAGGAUGUUUUCAUUAAUCAAGAACGAAAGUUGGGGGCUCGAAGAUGAUUAGAUACCAUCCUAGUCUCAACCAUAAACGAUGCCGACUAGGGAUUGGUGGAUGUUAAUUGAUGACUUCACCAGCACCUUAUGAGAAAUCAAAGUUUUUGGGUUCCGGGGGGAGUAUGGUCGCAAGGCUGAAACUUAAAGGAAUUGACGGAAGGGCACCACCAGGCGUGGGAGCCUGCGGCUUAAUUUGACUCAACACGGGGGAAACUUACCAGGUCCAGACAUAAGUAUGAUUGACAGAUUGAGAGCUCUUUCUUGAUUUUAUGGGG